rnacentral:rRNA from 1 species
AGAGUUUGAUCCUGGCUCAGGAUGAACGCUAGCGGGAGGCCUAACACAUGCAAGCCGAGCGGUAGAGAUUCUUCGGAAUCUUGAGAGCGGCGCACGGGUGCGGAACACGUGUGCAACCUGCCUUUAUCUGGGGGAUAGCCUUUCGAAAGGGAGAUUAAUACCCCAUAAUAUAAUGAGUGGCAUCACUUAUUAUUGAAAACUCCGGUGGAUAGAGAUGGGCACGCGCAAGAUUAGAUAGUUGGUGAGGUAACGGCUCACCAAGUCAAUGAUCUUUAGGGGGCCUGAGAGGGUGAUCCCCACACUGGUACUGAGACACGGACCAGACUCCUACGGGAGGCAGCAGUGAGGAAUAUUGGACAAUGGGUGAGAGCCUGAUCCAGCCAUCCCGCGUGAAGGACGACGGCCCUAUGGGUUGUAAACUUCUUUUGUACAGGGAUAAACCUUUCCACGUGUGGAAAGCUGAAGGUACUGUACGAAUAAGCAUCGGCUAACUCCGUGCCAGCAGCCGCGGUAAUACGGAGGGUGCAAGCGUUAUCCGGAUUUAUUGGGUUUAAAGGGUCCGUAGGCGGAUCUGUAAGUCAGUGGUGAAAUCUCAUAGCUUAACUAUGAAACUGCCAUUGAUACUGCAGGUCUUGAGUAAGGUAGAAGUAGCUGGAAUAAGUAGUGUAGCGGUGAAAUGCAUAGAUAUUACUUAGAACACCAAUUGCGAAGGCAGGUUACUAUGUCUUAACUGACGCUGAUGGACGAAAGCGUGGGGAGCGAUCAGGAUUAGAUACCCUGGUAGUCCACGCUGUAAACGAUGCUAACUCGUUUUUGGGUUUUCGGAUUCAGAGACUAAGCGAAAGUGAUAAGUUAGCCACCUGGGGAGUACGAACGCAAGUUUGAAACUCAAAGGAAUUGACGG